rnacentral:tRNA from 1 species
GGGGAUUUAGCUCAAUGGUACUGCAUCUGCCUUGCAAGCAGAAGGUCCUGAGUUCGAUCCCCAGUACCACCA